CAUCAAUAGAUGUUGUCACAUCAGUGGCCGGUCGCUGUAAAACACCUGAAAACUUGCCGAGUAAACGCCUAUAGCUCUAUACGCUGAUCUCAUGUAGUACCAUGCAGACAAAAACAUUACCACUUACCAUGCAGUGUAGAACUUUAAACAUGUAGAUAUAACAUGGUAGUUGACUUAGAAAGGACUACAAUAUAUGGGCGGUCCAUGUCUAGUUUAUAUUCAAUAGUUGGAAAGUGCACGGAUGGUUUGGAACGCAUUGAUCGUGUGUUGUAAUUUUGUAUUGUAGCUUUGUUAAAGUUUGUAACCCUGUCUCUAUUGUUUUUCAAUGUCAAUGUAAUGUGUAAGUAGGACUUAA